AAAUGCUCGCAAGUCUGAAUCAUCUUCUUUGGGAUCCUAGUCAAAAAAUUUUGGGAUGCUCUUUGAAGCAUACCUGCUCGUUGUUCAGUCUCAGAUGGAACUCGCUUUGGGAAGGUGAUUUGGGACUUAUUUGCUUAAAUUGUAACAAAAAUAAGAGGUUAUAGCAGUUCAGCUAUAAAAGAAUGAAUCAUGAAUAUUUGCAGGUGUGAAAAUACACUUACCACCAUUGAGAGAGCUGGACAGAUUGACCCUCGAAGUGUUGAAGUUUCAGUUUUAUUGAAGAAUGUGAGAUUCAAGGGAUGAGCUCGUGCCCGCGGCAAUA
rnacentral:lncRNA from 1 species